AGACUUUUGCAGUGGCAGUAUCGUUGCCUAUGAGGUUUAUCUGAGGUGCGAUUAUUACUAGUUGAAAACUUCAUCUGGGGAAUGUUAUGGCCUAAUGGAUAUGGAGUCAGACUUGUAACCCCAAAGUUGCG
rnacentral:snRNA from 1 species